rnacentral:rRNA from 1 species
UACAGAGGGGGCAAGCGUUAUUCGGAAUUAUUGGGCGUAAAGGGCGCGUAGGCGGCUUGGCAAGUGGAAGGUGAAAUCCCUCGGCUCAACCGAGGAACUGCCUUCUAAACUGCUUUGAUUGAGUCCGGGAGAGGUCAGUGGAAUUCCCAGUGUAGCGGUGAAAUGCGUAGAUAUUGGGAGGAACACCAGUGGCGAAGGCGGCUGACUGGACCGGUACUGACGCUGAGGCGCGAAAGCUAGGGGAGCGAACGGG